rnacentral:tRNA from 1 species
GUCAGCGGAGGUGUGGUAUCCGUCCCGGCAGGCGCCUUCUAAGCGCUUGGCCGCAGGUUCGAGUCCUGCCGGGGGCGCCA